rnacentral:pre_miRNA from 1 species
AAUAUACUCCCUCCAUCCCAAAAAUUUUGUCUUAGAUUUGUCUAAAUAUGAAUGUAUCAAGUCAUAUUUUAAUAUUAGAUACAUUCGUAUCUAGACAAAUUUAAGACAAGAAUUUUAGGACGGAGGGAGUAUAUU